CUAAGUAUUGCCGAGCACCCCCCCCCCCCCGGUGGCGCUCGCCGUCGGGGAGGCGGCUCGACGGUCGUGCCUGAUGAUGCGCUUGACGCGCUUGAGAGGAACCUGCCUCAGUUCAACUACAGCCCUCCCUUUUCAAGUUGAGAGGUAGGCUGCUAGAAGAGUAUUUUGAUCAAAACCUAGUAUCAACCAUUUCCUCUUGCUAUGAGGAAGCUUUGAGAAGAGAUCCUACUUGUAGCUACUCAAUGGAGAGGCUAAUCAAAAUGCAUAGAAAAGGGAGAGCCAUGGAAGUGGCUGUGCGCAGCGUUCCAUUGGGAGUGACGGCGUGGCUCUUCAACGGGGUGUGCUGAUGCCCAGGCGGAGAAGCAUAGGGACAUGGCAAUGAGUGGUGGAGCAGAGCAAUGUGGUGACCGGCGAGCGUCACAGCAGUCUGGAGGAGGUCAAUUGUCUUGAGUGCAGUGCAGGAAACAAUCCUCGGCAGCGACUCUGUAACACAAUAGACUGCUACCUUGUCUGCAACCACAUUGCUAGCUGUUGGAGAACACAAGCUUGUGUUCCAAACCAUGCAAGAGUAUGAUUCUGCAUCAGGCUCUUUCGUGUCUGAAUCAUGAAUUCAAAGUUGCAGUAGAAACAUGUAAGCUGUCCACUCGCUGUUGUAAUGUCUAUAGAUGCAAUGCAAGUGCAUAAUGUGUAUAGAUGCAAUGGAUAUUAACUCGCAGUUACUGCUCGAUACGACUGAAAAUGACCAUUAGUUGAGCAGGUGCUCAGUGCUAACUGCACCAUGUGUCUGCUGUCUGCAAACUGCUAAAAUAUCAGAGAACUUUGGUGGAAGCACGCACUAUGCCAUUCCAGGUCUAGUAGUUGCGCUUGUCAGCGAUCGAUGAACUAAACCCCAUUUCAUCCAGGUGAAGGGGCCAAAGACUUGGCGCAACUGGAGCAGCAAUGUUGGGGAUCCAUGAUUGGAAACCGGUGAUUGCAAUGCUAGUCUUUGACCUCAUCUCUGCUGUGACAACAACCUUGAUCAAGAAGGCACUGCAGGAGGGCCUCGACCGUCUAGUACUUAUCACACUGCGGUAACUGGUGGCCAUAGUCUUCCUUGCUCUGAUAGCCUAUUUCAAAGAACGGUACAGAAAUGUGACUUCUCAGCGGAUGCGGAUGAUCAAAGUUCAGAGCUUAGACUGAGCACAAGGCCUAAGCUCACACUGGAGAUCCUUGUGUACCUCUUCUUUAGUGCAGCGUUUGGCGCCGCUCUCUCUCUCAAUACACCUUCCUCUACGGACUGCAGUACACGAAUGCGAUAUUCGCUAUAACUUUCACCAACAUGGCUCCUGUGCUCACUUUCCUCAUUGCAGUCUUACUAAGAAAUUCAGCUCCAACUUUUCACUUGUGAAGAUGACUAUAUUGGUUGGUAGACUGUCAAAAAAGCAGAAAGAGAUAGUCAUAGAUUGUGGAUUUGGAUCGAUUGUUGCUCUUAACUGCUCAUCAAUUCCAAAUAAUCUAGUAAUUUGGCUGGCAAAGCAUUAUGAUUCCAGGUCUAAGUCUGUCAAGCUUCCUGGUGGUAAAUCUUUCAGCAUUGAUGCAAGUGCAGUUCAUCAAAUCUUGGGGAUCCCCCUUGGUGGCAAGAAAGUGCCAACAAAAUCAUCUAGUGAUGCAAAGUCCAUUGUUCUCAAGGACACAAGUGGAUCGAGACAGGCAACUAAAAUUGAUGAUCUCAUUGCCACGGUUAACCACUUCUGUUGUCAUACAGUGGAAAGACUUACUUCCACUUCAAACAAGUAAGUAUCAAACAUGAUGUGUUCAGCACGGUCUCUAUAUCUUUACACUCAUUUAUGACUGCACCCCCACACCCGCCUCAUGCAGGAACACGCAAAGCCAAUCCGAGAAUCGCUAACCUAUUAUCUUUGCACGCAUGUGGAUAAUGAGAUUGUUCUACCAGAUAUCAAGAACAUAGCAUGUCAACAUGGUAUUUUUCUGGAAAACAAUGUGCAAGGCAGGAAAAGGUAUUUCUGAAAUCAUAAGAAGGUUGUUCAGUUAUGCCCUCCGCAUAUGCCCCCUUGGGAUGUCCUGCAGAUAUUUUUGUGGCAACAUUUUAUGUUUUUAAUGGUCGCUACAUGAUAAAUUUAGUUCUGUUAAUAAUGAACUUUAUUUUUUUGCAACA